rnacentral:rRNA from 1 species
UACGUAGGGUGCAAGCGUUGUCCGGAAUUAUUGGGCGUAAAGAGCUCGUAGGCGGUUUGUUGCGUCGGCUGUGAAAUCCCGAGGCUCAACCUCGGGUCUGCAGUCGAUACGAGCAAACUAGAGUGUUGCAGGGGAGACUGGAAUUCCUGGUGUAGCGGUGAAAUGCGCAGAUAUCAGGAGGAACACCGGUGGCGAAGGCGGGUCUCUGGGCCGAUACUGACGCUGAGGAGCGAAGGCGUGGGGAGCGAACAGG